GUAAAAGCUUUGCGAUGGAGUUUUGGAUGAAUUCUUUAUUUGGUUUUCUCUCUUGUCGUCGUUAGUGUUAUUGAUUGUUUUAAUAUUAUUAGUUAAUAAUUGUUGCUAUGUUUAUGUUGUGCUUAUUGUGUGAAUUGUUUGUCUCAUUAGAUCACGGAGUGCGAGGCUUGCUAUUUAGAGUCACUCGAGUUUGAAGACUGUCAGCAAGGUAAGUUCACAUUGAUCAUGUGUUACCUAUGAAUUUUAUUGCAUUAGUUCAAUUUUUCCACCAUUGCAUGCAAAGUAGGUAAAUUGGAAACUUGGUUCUUGAGUAGUAUCAUGUGGUAGGCAUCCAUAAACCCUUGUCACUUUGGUCCGGGAGACGAUAUUUUAUUUUUGCUAUGCUUUUAGUAGACGGGGUUGGUUGAAUGUUUAUCAUGAGAGUUGUGAGACUUAAUUAGUGACCAAGACCUCAAGGCUUCAAGUUUUUCAAGACCUCAUGAUGCAAUAUACCUCUGGGUGGAAAUUGGUUGAACGACACCCUGUAGUACCCAGUGGUAGCCUAGGUGUUGCUGGAGAAGUACCAGUAUUCACGAGGAAAGUUCCACCCAGGCACGAAGAGAUGGAUGGAUACUUCAAGACCACGGCUUACCUGCACAACCACAAGCCAUUAUGGGCUCUGGCUUGGUUGGACAUCAUGGCGACUCUGGACGGGCGGUGCUACGAGAUGUAGAAGAACGGUAGGAAUAGAUGGGCACCGACAGUGGCUCAGAGGAACCCGUUGGAAGACCAUGUUUUGAUCAUCCGGUUCUCAAACACCCUGGAGGCGAUCAAAUCUUGUAGGGAAUGUGUGCAAAACUCUGCAGAGUACCAAACCCAAUCGAUUAGCCGUGUCCACCAUUAAGGACAACUUGAGCCAAAGGAACUCAAACUAUUAGAAAUUCUCGACACAAAUAAAUUUAGUGAUGUGGGAAUUAUAAUUUGGGUAUGAAAAAUGGUGGGUGGAACCUUCUCAUUAAACAAACAACAUGUAGUAAUUAUUUUCGCUUUUGCCCCCUCUCUUAUUGUAGGAAAAAAUUGCUUUUCGCUAAAAUUACAGCCUCACCUGCCAUAUAUGCAUAUAGUAUAGAUGAUAUUUUCACCCCUCUCUUUUGUGACUUGCCGGCAUAUUCAAUAUGCCGACCUACACGGUUGCAACGUGUCAUGUUGAAGAGUACUUUUCCGACCAGGAGUGAGGACACGAUCUAUGCUCGGUGAUAUGCUCUUGGAGUCAGAUAGACUCAACUACCUUUGAAGCUUCCGCUAGUUUUCAAUUAUUUUUAUCUCAUAAGUUGGCCUUCAGCCACUUUAUUGUAAUCUUUAUUUGUAAUAAAGAACUCGAUAUGAUAUUUCGAUUAAUAAAGUAGUGUGGUUGAGCUCUUGAUAUAUACAUUGAUGUACUGUGUGUGUACCAGCAUGAUCUUGGGAUAGUAUAGAAACACUAGAGACUUGAUCGUUUCAGGUCGGGGAUGGUAUCUAGAGCACCCACUGACCGUAGGACGUAACCUCUAAGAUUGGAAAAGCCUUAGGAAUAAACCAUUUUACUUAUGUCCAUAAAAUUUCUAUA
rnacentral:lncRNA from 1 species